rnacentral:lncRNA from 1 species
AUGUUUGUUGUUUAUAUCUUUACUUGAGUUUGCUCCUGAAUAACUAUCUGUCCUUGAAUAAAUUUCUUUUACAGAGGACAUGCUGCUAUUUUCCUCGCUAUUAGAAGAUUCUUAAUUGUCUUUGGCAAACUUAGCUCUGAAAUGAAACUCAUCAUUUCAAUUCAAGAUAGGUGAAUGUGUUAAAAAGAAUAAUUUCAUGAUUAGAGGAAAAUGAUAGAUUUAAACCCAAUUCUGUCCUCCAACACAGCCAAUUGGGUUUCCUAUUUAGAGGCAGUGCUCACAAAUACCUGAUCAAAUGACUGUGAGAUCACAGGAGAGAACAACGGUUUUAAUAACUUCAACAAAUUUUUAUAAUUUUAUUAAAAUUAUUCAUGAUUCUUCUAGUUUGUGAGAAGACUUAGAAAAAAAUCCGGAUUGGUUCAACAAGAGUAUGAAGCAAUUCUCUUGGAAUAUGAUUAAUGUUUGAAAAUGUAUGGGGAAGUUAACCUUGGGAAGAUCCAUUGGGUUCUCUCUUCCCACGAGUAGGACAGCCCAUCCUUGAGCAGAGGUUCUGUGCAAAAUACACGCGCUCUUUCCUUGCCACCAUAGCUCCCACAGCCUGGGGAACUUCUAUAUGCUGCAGGUGUGGCCAAAAGAGAGAAAAUUUUUUUAUAAUGCUCAGUUUGUAUUUCUUUCAAAUCCACCUCUUCCUUUCUCAGAUAGACUUACUCUUUUAUCAUGGGCUCUCUCUCUCCUUUUUUUUUUUACCUUGAUCAUCCUUAAAAUUAUUCUUUUAUACUUUUUUUUCAGAUUACUCUAUUACCCCUAGUUCUUAGGGAACUGAUUUUCUUGUCUACUGAAUAUGCUAAUUAUCCCUCAGUACUUAAUGUUUUCCUGUAGUUUAUAUAUUUUUAUUGUGAGCUUGCUCUCUAUCUCUCUAUCUAUCUGUCUGUCUUGCUCUAUCUCUCUUUCACUCUCAUUGAUCUGUGAGACUCACAUUUUGGGUUGUGUGAAUGCCCCCGGAAAUCUAUGUCUAUAUAUCUUAUAUCUGAAUAUCUAUAUAUCUUAUAUCUGUAUAUCUAUAUAUCUUAUACCAAUGAACUCCUAUAUUAUUUCUUUAAAAAUACAUCUAUAUUAAUUUCUUAUCUAGGAAUUCCAUACAAUUAGCGUAGUAUCCCAAAUCCCCAAGCUUUGUUGUGUGCUGCCCUUUGCUUUCUUGUAGGUAACAUUUAUUUCCACAAUCCCAGAAGGAUGACUUUAUUCCUGAAUUCCUGGGAUGUGAAAAGGCUUUCUAUUUCCCUUUUCAAAGCCUGAACAGAUUUAGUUUUGUGCAGAGGGCUUAGUUCCAGCUCCAUACCUUUUUUAGACUCAAGAUCCCAUCCAUGUUUCCUGAAUGUUGUUUACAAAAUCCUAGUAUCCAGUGUCUAGGGCUCAUAUCUGUGGCUGAAACCUUCAUUUGGAUUUACUAAUUUCUCAGGCACCCAAAGAUUUCGUUUUUUUUUUUUUUAAUUCCAAAUUUAUUUUACUUUUAUGUUUUAUUAAGGUUUAUUCCAUGUUUUAUAGAAUUGAGCAAUAAAGUGGUCAUCUAUAUUAGUGUUGUCAAACAUCCUAAGCAUUUAAAAAAGAUUUUCUACAGAUCUUGUCCAUGCUUUUCUCAUCUAUUUCAAUUGUGAUUGAGAGAAUGUGCUAAUAUUCAAUUUCCCAGAAUCUAAGAAAAUGAAGAGGCUGAAAUUAAUAACUGACUCAAUCAUCUCUUCAGUUCUUUCAACAUUAAUUCCUAAACAAUACCAAUAACACAUCUUAGAAAAUAGCACAUUCCGGGUUUAACUGUAGUCUGUUUCUCCAUGGAGGAUCGAAAACUUUGUAAAGUCUUUAUUUGAGACAGACCUUGAAAGGUAAAUAGAUGCUCUCACUGGACAGAAAGUAGUAUUCUUGGCUUGGUGAGGAGGAUGAAUAAAGGCCUGAACAUGAAAGAGUGUAGCACGAUCAGAGAACUGCAAGUAGCUCUGUAGACAAAAGCAUAAGAUAGGUUUGAGGUAGAUAGAGGUGGGAGCAUUGAGAACUGCAGACAGAGAGGUGAGCAAAGAUCAAAUUGUGGUGUUUCUUUAUAUCAGGCUGAGGAAUUCGAACUUAGUUCCUAUGGGAAAGAAUAAACAGUUUCAAGCUUAUCAGCUUUGUGCUUUAGGAAGAUUUGUUCUAAAGAACACUGUGGGGAAUAAACAGAAAAGGAAUGAAGCUGGAAGUAGGAAAUGAUCCUGCAUCCUUACUGCAGAUUAGGAGAAGCCAAAAUAUGCAAAUAAUAAUAGGGAAUGAAAAGGAAACCAACAAACAAAACAGAUAUUAAUGAGCAAGAAUUAAUCCGAUUUAGUCAUAUUUAAACGAUGCCCUCCACCAUGACUUGAAAUACAGAAACAGAUUUGAAGACAUGAUAAAAAGUACAUUUAGAUACAUUGAUUUUUCAGGCAACUGUGGAACAUAGGACAUUGGAGAUCCUAGGACAUUUAUCUAGCCUAGAUAUAUAGCUUGUGAUAGAAUCAGAAAGUUCUUUGUUGGGCUAAUAUACCUCUUGUAGCUUUUGCUGAACAAGAGAAAGGGAAGAAAUUGGCUCUUUUGAUGUUUUCUUAGAGAGCAUUUAUUCUUCAUUCAUGCAAUCAGCCAGUAGUUAUUUAGAACCUGCUCUGUGAUGGACACCUCAGUUUGUACUGGAGAUCUUGUAGUGUACCAGAAAAACAUGGUUCCUGCACUCCACCCUC